CUGAGGGUCUGGACUGUACUCCUGCAGCAUUGCACUCAAGGGGAAGUGUUGACGACUACUGGGAAGCCCUUGACCACUCUUCCCACGGGGAACGAAUCUCGUACCCCCGAGCGCCUGUUGGGAAAUGUGGACUUCUACCCUGAGAGUCGUCCUUCCCUCUCCCUGGGUGCCCAAGAGAAAAUACCGUAUAGAAAGGAAUUCCUGAAGUCUAAACCCCUCUAGUGAGGACAGGAGUGUUACUGGAAAGGGAACAAGCGAGAUGAUACACUCUUCAAAUAAGUUUUGCCAGUGGCAGAAUUGCAGUGGCUAUUCACAGACAACAUCUCACUACUGAUCAGCAUGGGAGUUCUGACCUGCUGUGUUUCCACCCUGGGCCAGUUUACCUCUCCUGAGGCAACCUGGUAGUCCUCUGCUCCUGGGAGAUCACCAUGUUGAUGUCGACUUAGUGUGGACACCCAGUGGGCAUAGCUCACUACACCUCAAAACUCCUGGGCUCAAGCGAUCCUCCUACUUCAGCCUCCCAAGUAGCUGGGACUGCAGGUGCCUGCCACCACAUCGGCUAUUUUCUGUUUUUAAAGAUGAUAGCUAACAUAGCUGUUGUAAAAUGGCAUCUCAUUAUUGGUUUGAUUUGCAUUUUCCUAAUGACUAAUAGUUGAGCAUCUUUUCACAUAAUUGUUGGUAACUUGUAUAUCUGAAAUUUCUAUUUGUAUCUUUGCCCAUUAGAAAAUUGGGUGGUUUCUCCUCUUGUUAUUGAGUUGUAAGAGUUCUUUCUUUCUUUCUUUUCUUUUUAAGAAACAGAGUCUCUCUUUGUUGCCCAGGCUGGAGUGCAAUGGUACAUCACGCCCCACUGCAGCCUUGACCUCCCAGGCUCAAACAAUCCUUCUGCCUCAGCCUCCUGAGUAGCUGGGACCACAGGCAUGGGUCACUAUGCCUGGCUACCUUUGUUUUUUGUUGUUGUUGUUUUUUGUUUGUUUAUUUGUUUCUUGUAGAGACAUGGUUUUCGCCAUGUUGCCCAGGCAGGCCUCAAACUCCUGGGCUCAAGCGAUCCACCCAUCUCAGCCUUCCAAAGUGCUGGGAUUAUAGGUGAGAGCCACCUCACCUGGUCUAAGAGUUCUUUAUAUAUUCUGAUACUAGAAGCCAUGCUGUAUGGUGUUUUCAUGCUCUUGACAAUGUCUCUGUAUGCAUAGCAUUUUUUUUUUGCUCUAGUCCAAUUUAUGUGGGGUUUUUUUAGCUUGUGCAUAUGGUGUCUUAUCUAAGAAUCC
rnacentral:lncRNA from 1 species